UUUUGUUUUGUUUUUAAUCUGUCCUGUCCAGCUCCUUGGAAAUGCAUAAUACAAAAUACCUUAAAAUGCUUAAACAGUUUUAAUGUGCCUCGUGGGAGUCUGGAAUAUUUGAAUAUAUAUGCCACGCUACCUAGCUAUGAGUAGUGUUGCAAAGUCAUUACGACUUCAUUUACUGAGGGAAUAUACCUAAUAAGUGAUAGGACAAGAAGAGGGAUGACAGGAAAGAUUAUGGUGUGGUGACAACAAGGCAUGGUGAGUGUUCAAACUAGAGCUGAAACGAGUACUCGAGCAACUCGAGUAACUCGAGUUUAAAAACUGAUCCGAGUCAUUUUAUUCACCUCGAGUAAUCGUUUAUUUUGACAGCUCUAAGCAUCACGUUUUGCUCGGACUACUUUUAAUGCGGGACAACGCGCUGUCACGUGCGGAGAGGAAGAAGGGGAGAAAAAAAAACUUACUGCAGCUGACAGCCGCCACAAACGACGCCGACGUUGCCAAAUACUAGCCCGCACGAUGCUACGUUGGUAACAGCUAGCGUCUGAUGCGUCUCAUAAAGAUCACAUGUAUGUUGAACUAGAUGCGCAAUGACAGACUCGGCCGCGUCUGGGCAGCGUUAUUAAACAGCCGCCAUCUUAAAGCAGUACAGCGCUAAGCGCUAAUAAAGAGCGCUAAGCGUUAAUAAAUAAGAUUAACGUUACUGUCGCUACUAGCUCACGUAAAGUUAGCCCUGCGGAGGACUAGGUUUCAAUUAAUUAUGACUACUGUCAUUGCGUGGCUAACGUGUUUUACAUACAGGCUUUAACAUAACAUAGCAUUGUGGAGUGAUGAGGGUGUAAAAUAAAAACUUAAUCAUGCUAACUAUCAAUUUUAGCUCAGUAGUCAUUGCUGGAUAAAACACCAAGUUGCACUGGUCCCUAAUGUGCUCCAGUACAGCCUGUAUCAUACAUUUAUUUUGAACACUGCAAAAACUCAAAAUCCUAUCAGGACUUACAGUUUAGACUAACUUAAAACUUAACUAGAACUUAAAAAUGGCUUGACACAAAGAGAAAUUCAAUUGAAACACGAGGGAAAAAAUCCUAACUUUUAAGUGAUGUGUGUCAUCAAGCGUAACGGCAUUUUUAGGUUAUAUAUAUAUAUAUAUAUAUAUAUAUAUUUUUUUUUUAAAUAAGAUCUAAAAGUUUUUUGAGUGAAAGCAGUGAAUGUCUUUUUUUUAAAUUCUAGCUACAAUAUACAUCAAAAAUAAAGACAUUGAUUGACUGAAAAUGGUUCAAGAUUAGAUGAAAUGUCUUGUUUUCUCAUGUAUAUUUAUAAUUGCUCUUCACCUAAAAAUAUAUUUGUUUUAUCCGAUUACUCGAUUAAUCGAUAGAAUUUUCAGUCGAUUACUCGAUUACUAAAAUAUUCGAUAGCUGCAGCCCUAGUUCAAACAGUGCCAGUAUUAUGAAAAAUCACGUUUGAUUUGUAGUGGACACAGAAUAGCAGAGAGGUGUUCAUGAUCUGAUCUGAAACAUGAUCACUCAUUGCCUGUCUCCCCAGUUGAAAUGGAUUUGAUGUCCAUAACUGUCAAUGUAAGUAAAGGAGUUAAGGGUUAAGAGCAACAAAAUAAUCCAGCGGUAUAAGAAUAUUGUAAAAAUAAUACAUACGUUUUUUUUUUGUUGUUGUUUUUUUUUUUUUUUUACAUAUAUACAGUGGAAAAAAAUAAGUAUUUGAACACCCUGGUUGUUCUGCCUUUUGGUGAGUUUUGUAGAAGGCUUUUUUGUGCUGUCCAGCAGCGAACUCUAGUGGUCGCCUCGCGACAUGGUUUUUUGUUUUUCUAGCCAAUUCAAUAUGGCUGCACGACGUCUCUGGCUGAAGCCUAAGUUGCAACGUUGUGCUCACAUGAUCCUUGGACAAGAUUUGUCCGUAAGUAUGGAUGUUGUGGAUAAUGUACAUAUUAUGUUGGUAGGAGAAAUGUUAUGUUUUUUGUAUGGAACGCUUUUUGUUUAUGUUUAGUGAACUAGUCUGGCGUGCUAAGCUAACGUUGUAGCUAAUGCUAUGCUUGUAUACUCUUUUUGUAGUUUUACGACGGUCCGGAGAGGACAAUGGUUUAAGGCCAUUCCAUUAAUAAAUCAGAUAAAACCAAAGGAAGAAGUCUGUUUAUUAAAGCGUCGUUCACUAGCCGUCUAGCUUGGAAAAAAGUAGACGCUUCCGAGUGAGGACAGCAUAGUAAAAGGACAUCAGCGCGGCGGGAUCAACUACGACGCAACACACAACAAUGAGCCUACGGUCAGAAAAACACCUGGAUUCUACAGACGAAGGAGCAACGCCAAGGCAACAACAAAGACAAGUGGAAAACAGAGACUAUGCAGACAAUACAGAGAACAUGGAUAACGCAAGCAAUGCAGACUCACAGGUCAGGUCUAUACGCACGCAUACAUCCAAGAGUUCAUCUACUAGUUCAUCUACUAGUUCUGCAGCACUAAAGGCGCGAGCAAAAGCAGUAGCCGCACGUGCACAGUUGGCAUAUUCAGAAAAAGAAGCUACCAUGAUGAAGCAAAAAUCUGAGCUUGAAGCCAAUCUACACGUCUUAAGUUGUCAAAAGGCAGUUGCAGCCGCAGAAGCAGAGGCUGCUGUUUAUGAAGAAGAAGAAAGUUUCACAAAAUCUGAAGUAAGACAUUCAAUUGUAGGACAACCUGCCAAUCCAAUGCAACGUACAGCAGAGUUUGUUCAAAGCCAUCCAGACAGCUACUAUGAAAGAUUUUUAUCGAAAAUGGAUCCACUCGCCAGCCACAAAGCAGCACGUGAGCAAUGUGAAAUGGCGAUGAACACAGAAAUAGAUGAGAGAAAUUUUUACAGUGAGAAAAAACCUGACAUCAAAGUGGAGCAGCAAACACAAGAGAGAGAAGAACGCAGUCCACCCAAACUGUACCCGUAUGACACUCUUCCAACUCCAGCAGAGACGCAGGGAAAACAGGACAUCACAUGUUACCUGAGACGGAGAGAAAUGUUGAGUACUGGACUUUUACAGUUUGAUGAUCUCCCAGAGAACUACUGGGCAUGGAAGGCGUCAUUCCAAAAUGCCAUUAAGGACUUGAGAUUAACAGCCCAAGAAGAAAUAGAUUUAAUGAUAAAGUGGCUUGGAAAUGAGUCUCGCCAGCAAGCUAAAAGAAUCCGAUCAGUUCAUGUCUUCAAUCCAACAGCUGCACUUCAUCUUUUGUGGGAACGACUGGAGGAAUGCUACGGGUCACCUGAAGUCAUGGAAAAUGCAUUGCUAAAAAAGAUUGAACAGUUUCCCAAACUUAACAACAGGGACAACACAAAGUAACGAGAGCUAGGUGACAUUCUACAAGAAAUUGAAUGUGCCAAGGACGGAGGAUACUUACCAGGCCUAUCGUAUUUGGACACGUCUCGAGGAGUCAACCCCAUCGUGGACAAGCUACCUUACGGGCUUCAAGACAAGUGGAUCGCUACAGGAGCGAAGUACAAAGAAGAACACAAAGUCGUCUUUCCACCUUUUAGUGUCUUUUCAAAAUUUGUGAGACAACAAGCAAAAAUAAGAAAUGACCCAAGCUUCGUCAUCACAUCUCCUAUCAACACAAGCUUCAAAAAGGAAAAAAGCUUCAAAAGUGAUAACAGGCGAGUGGUUUCCGUGCACAAAACAGACAUUCCAACUGACACCAGUACAGCUCAAAAAUGUUUUAGUAAGCCAGCAGAAAGUCCGGACAAGCUAUGUCCAUUACAUAAGAAACCUCACCCGCUUACAAAGUGCAAAACCUUUAGAGCCAAGCCCAUUGAUGAACGCAAGUCAUUCUUGAAAGACAACAGAAUUUGUUUUAAAUGUUGUAGCUCAACUCAGCAUUUAGCGAAAGACUGUAAUAUGCAAAUUAGGUGCAUGGAAUGUGGCAGCGAAAGACAUUUGACAGCGCUACAUCCAGGUCCACUUCCUGCUCCAGCGGAAAGUUCUGAAGUUGAGAAAGGUGAUGGCGGGGAGACACACGAAGAUGUAAGUGUCUCAGUUGUUUCUAAAUGCACUGAAGUAUGUGGUGAUGCAAACAGCACACUUUCAUGCUCAAAAAUAAGCCCUGUAAUAGUGUACCCAAAGGGUGAGCGAGAUCAAGCAGUAAAGCUAUAUGCUGUACUUGAUGAACAAAGCAACAAGUCGCUUGUCAAGUCUCAGUUUUUCGAGCUCUUCAACAUAGAGACACGCUCGGACACUUAUAAGCUUAGAACAUGCUCAGGCCUGUCAGAUAAUGUCGGCAGAACAGCAUCAAACUUCAUGAUUGAGUCAGUGGAUGGUAGAGUAAAGCUCCCACUCCCAAACCUAAUUGAAUGUGACAUGAUUCCUGACGAUAGAAGAGAGAUCCCAUCUUCACAAGUUGCUAUGCAGUACCCUCACCUGCAAAGGAUAGCAAACAAAAUACCUCCGGUAGAAGAAAAAGUACCAAUCCUAUUGCUCUUGGGACGUGACAUUAUCCAGUUACACAAAGUUCGAGAGAGGAUUAAUGGACCGCGUAGUACCCCCUAUGCACAACGUUUAGACUUGGGUUGGGUUAUAGUUGGUGAAACCUGCCUGGGUAAGACGCACAAACCUCCAAACGUGAACGUCCUCAAAACAAACGUUCUUCAGAAUGGCCGUGCUUCUUACUUCAGCCCAUGUCCUAACACCUUUCAAAUCAAAGAGUCGAAUGGUUUUAGUAGCCAGUCAAACACUAAACCAACUUCCCAAAACGAACGUAAAAAUACAAACACGGAUCAGCUGGGACAAACUGUUUUUGAGAGAACCAAAGAUGACGACAAACCGGCACUCUCAAUAGAAGACAAAUAUUUUCUUGACAUUAUGGAAAAAGAAGUAUAUCAAAAUGAAGAUAACAGCUGGGUGGCGCCAUUGCCAUUCCAAUCUCCAAGACCAAAGCUUCCAAGUAACAAGGAGCAAGCACUCAAACGUCUCCAGUCACUCAGAAAAACACUGGACCGAAAUCCUGAAAUGAAAAAACAAUACGUGGAGUUUAUUCAAAACAUGCUGGACAACGACCACGCGGAGAUCGCUCCAAUUUUGGACUCAAACAAAGAACAUUGGUACUUACCAUCAUUUGGUGUGUAUCAUCCUCAAAAACCUAACCAAUUAAGGGUAGUUUUUGAUUCAAGUGCAGAGUUCGAAGGUCAGUCACUUAACAAAGUGUUACUAAGUGGACCGGACUUGAACAACACGCUACUAGGCGUUCUUAUGCGUUUUAGAAAAGAGUCUGUAGCAUUUUCUGCUGAUGUGCAACAAAUGUUUUAUUGCUUUCAAGUCAGAGAAGAUCAUAGGGAUUAUUUAAGAUUCCUUUGGUAUGAGAAUAAUGACAUGAGUAAAAGUGUAUGUGAUUAUAGAAUGAAGGUCCACGUUUUUGGAAAUAGUCCGUCUCCGGCUGUGGCUAUUUAUUGCAUGAGGCGCGCUGCAGUCGAGGGAGAGGAGGAGCAUGGACUGGAUGCAAAACAGUUUGUAAUGAGACAUUUUUAUGUUGAUGAUGGCCUUGCGUCUACAGCAAGCUCAAAAGAAGCUGUUGAAAUACUGACAAAUGCACAAAACAUGUUGGCCCAGUCAAAUUUAAAGCUGCACAAAAUAGCCUCCAACGACAGCAAAGUAGUUGAAGCAUUUCCUGUCGCAGAGAGAGCGAAGGAUCUAAAAGACUUGGAUUUAGAAUUUGACAACAUACCUUUACAAAGAAGUUUAGGGGUGUUGUGGGAUCUUGAAAAUGACUGUUUUACUUUUCAUGUCAACACUGAUCAAAAGCCAUAUACUAGAAGAGGUGUUUUGGCUACAAUUAACAGUUUGUAUGAUCCGCUAGGAUUCGUGUCUCCCAUAACAAUGCAGGGAAAAGCUCUUCUACGUGAACUGUCAGCAGAGCAAAAGGACUGGGAUGAACCACUUCCCAUUGAAAGAGAAGAGGAGUGGAACAAAUGGAGAACCUCGUUGAAGCACCUCGAGCAGCUACAGAUACCAAGGUGCUACCUACCUUUUUCUCAGACCACUGCUGUGAGGAAAGAACUGUGCAUAUUCUCAGAUGCCUCCACCAUGGCCAUAGGAGCAGUAGCGUAUCUGAGAGCGCUCAACACUGAAGGUCAGUGGCACACAGGUUUCAUCAUGGGAAAGUCCAAAGUGGCCCCCCGACCUGCUCACACUAUCCCUAGGUUGGAACUGUGCGCAGCAGUAUUGGCUGUAGAAAUGUAUGAACUCAUUAGAGAUGAGAUUGACAUUGAAGUGGACAUUGUCAGAUUUUUUACAGACAGCAAAAUCGUCCUAGGUUACAUACAUAACAACACAAAGAGAUUUUACACGUACGUAGCAAACAGAGUGAACAGGAUUAGAAAAACCACACAUCCUGCACAAUGGUUUUACAUUAACACAGAUGACAAUCCAGCAGACAAGGCCACAAGAUCAAUUGCAGCUCCUGCAUUGACUUAUACAAACUGGUUUAGUGGUCCUUCUUUUUUGACACAGCCGAGUACAGACACGUCACACUGUGACACAUUUGCUCUCAUCGAACCUGACGCAGAUGCAGAGAUUAAACCUGAAAUCAAGACAUUUGUUACUCAAGCUUCAGUAACACAGUUCGAGUCACGUCGUUUUGAAAGAUUUUCUCAUUGGAUGAGAUUAUGCCACACUGUUGCAUCAUUAAAACGUGUAACAGCAUCUUUCAAGAAAACAAACUCAGAAAGUAAAGGCUGGAAGUGUUUCAGUGUAACUAACACCCCAAAUGAGCUCGAGAAAGCAGCGAAAUUCAUCAUUCACACAGUUCAGACUGAAACAUUCAAAGAAGAGUACAGGUGCAUAAAAGCAAACAAGCCACUUCCAAACCUAAGCUGUCUCAAAAAGUUAAAUCCAAUCAUCGAUGAAGAUGGGCUCCUCAGAAUAGGAGGACGCUUGGCACCUGCAAAUUUGACAAAAGAGGAAAAACAUCCACUCAUCAUCCCAAAUGCUCACCAUGUAGCCGUCCUUCUUAUCAGAUACUAUCAUGAGAAGGUAGCACAUCAGGGACGCCACCUAUCAGAGGGUGCGCUCAGAGCAGCUGGAUUUUGGAUCAAAGGCAGUAAAAGACUCGUCUCUUCUGUAAUUCACAAGUGUGUUCUCUGUCGAAAGCUUAGAGGACAACUACAGACACAAAAGAUGGCGGAUUUACCCAUUGACAGACUUACACCUAUGCCCCCAUUCACCAGCGUAGGACUGGACGUUUUUGGCCCCUGGUCAGUCAUCACACGUCGCACCAGAGGAGGAAGUGCAGACAGUAAACGCUGGGCUGUACUUUUCACCUGUAUGUCCACAAGAGCUGUGCACAUUGAACUCAUAGAAUCAAUGUCAACAUCCAGCUUCAUUAACGCAUUAAGAAGAUUUUUCAGCAUCCGUGGACCAGCUCAAAUACUUCGUUCGGACAGAGGUACCAACUUUGUUGGCGCAUGCAACGAACUCAAAAUUGAUCACAAAGACACAGAACUGACCUCCUACCUACAGGAGAAAGGAUGUACAUGGCUUUUCAACUCCCCACACUCCUCACAUAUGGGAGGGGCAUGGGAAAGACUCAUCGGAGUCGCACGACGAAUCCUGGAUGGAAUUCUUUUAAAAGCCACAAAUGUCCAACUCACUCAUGAAGUGCUGAGUACUUUCAUGGCGGAAGUAAUGGCAAUAAUGAAUGCGAGACCACUCGUACCAGUAUCAACAGAUCCAGACAAACCAAACCUUCUCACACCAGCAACUCUUCUAACCCAAAAGACCAACACGUUAACUGCCCCAACCGGAAACUUUGCACCUCCUGACCUCUACGCAAAGCAAUGGAAGCAAGUGCAGUGCAUGGCGGACACUUUUUGGAAACAGUGGAGAAGUGAAUACCUUUCCUCUCUGCAACAAAGGAGAAAAUGGACAGACGAUAAACCAAACAUAAAAACUGGUGACAUUGUGCUAUUGAAGGAUGUUCUUGCACAUAGAAAUGACUGGUGUAUGGGAAGAGUUGUGAAAACAUUUGAGAGUAAAGACAAUAAGGUUCGAAAAGCAGAAGUUAAAACUGUGAAAGAUGGAAAUGUGAAAUUGUUUAUGAGACCAAUUUCAGAUUUGGUUUUGCUACUACCAGUUGAGAAGUAAUCUCGUAUGUUGUUGUAAUUGUUCAAAACAAAAAAAACAAAAAAAAGUGUUUUGUAGUGGCACAAUUGUAUUGUACCAGGCGAGGAGUGUUCUGCCUUUUGGUGAGUUUUGUAGAAGGCUUUUUUGUGCUGUCCAGCAGCGAACUCUAGUGGUCGCCUCGCGACAUGGUUUUUUGUUUUUCUAGCCAAUUCAAUAUGGCUGCACGACGUCUCUGGCUGAAGCCUAAGUUGCAACGUUGUGCUCACAUGAUCCUUGGACAAGAUUUGUCCUUUUACGACGGUCCGGAGAGGACAAUGGUUUAAGGCCAUUCCAUUAAUAAAUCAGAUAAAACCAAAGGAAGAAGUCUGUUUAUUAAAGCGUCGUUCACUAGCCGUCUAGCUUGGAAAAAAGUAGACGCUUCCGAGUGAGGACAGCAUACUGGUAUUUUGCAAGUUCUCCGACAUAGAAAUCAUGGAGGAGUCUGAAAUUUUCAUCGUAGGUGCAUGUCCACUGUGAGAGAGAUAAUCUAAAAAGAAAAAUCCAAAAAUCACAAUGCAUGAUUUUUUAACGCUUUGUGUGACACAGCUGCAAAGAAGUGUUUGAACACGUGUCUGUCAGCUAGAAUUCUGACCCUGAAAGACCUGUAAGACCACCUCCACUCUAAGUAUUAUCCUGAAUCAGAUGCACUUUAUUGAGGUCGAUGGCAGCAUAAAGACACCUGUCCACCCCAUACAAUCAGUAAGACUCAAACUUGUAACAUGGUCAAGACCAAAGAGUUGUCCAAAGACGCCAAAGACAAAAGAAAGGAAAGGAAAGGGAAAGGGCUACGGAGCAACUGCCUUGUAGCCUGGAAAAAAAGCUCCACUGUUGGAGCAAUCAUUAGAAAACAGAAGAAACUAAACAUGACGGUCAGUCUCAAUCGGAGUGGAGCCCAAUGUAAGAUAUCACCUUGCGUGGUCUCAAUGAUCCAAAAAAAGGUGAGGAACCUGGUGAAAAACUACAGGAAACGUGUGAUCUCUGUAAUUGCAAAGAAAAGCUAUUGUACCAAAUACUGUAUUAGCAUUCGUUUUCUCAGGUGUUGAAAUACUUAUUUGCAGCUGUAUUGCACAAAUAAAUCGUUAAAAAAAAAAUCAUACAUUGUGAUUUCUGGAUUUUUGUUUUUAGAUUCUCUCACAAUGGACAUGCAUCGACGAUGAAAAUUUCAGACCCCUCCAUGAUUUCUAAGUGGGAGAACUUGCAAACUAGCAGGGUGUUUAAAUAAUGUACUUAUUUUCUUUCCUGUAUAUAUAUUUACUAUAGUUCCAAAAAAUCGAUUAUUACAUGCAUCGUGAUUAGACACGCGACGAUUCGAUUAUAAUUCAUAAAGGUUCAAAAACGAUGAUUUUCCUUCUUUACUUUGACAGCCGCUUGUAGCGGAACGAAAUUCAAGACACGUCUGCCGCACGGACACCGUUAACGGAGGCAUGUACAACAUUAUGAUGGAUGCUCCUGGUUACUGGGAGAGAUAUUUACUCUUUUUUAAAAGACUGGAAAAUAAAUUUGUGUAUGAUGCAGGCAGGAGCCGGCGGUCGCGCUUUUGUGCGCAAGUGAUUUUUUAGAACGAGAGGAGAAGAUAGUUCGUUGCACCUUGUCUUUCAGAUGUGUUUUAAGGCAUUUCAAUUGAAAAAUGUCCUGAGUGUGUUGCUAAGACCUGUGUGCGUCUAUAAGAGGUGAGUACACGAACCCUCUUGUAUUGUUUAUGUGUAGCCUUUAUUGUUGUUGUUUUUGAGAUGUUAAUAGUUAGCGCCGAGCGCUAAGCUAAUUAGCUAAUUUGCUCAUGUGUAUAUUAUAUGCGGAACGUGUAAAACCAUGAUUAAGUACAGUGGUAACACUACAAACAUGCGGAAUAGUACAAAAAUCUGUUGUUGCAAGUGCUCCCUGGGAGCCGACAGGCGUGUGUGCUUGUGGGUGGGCAGGAGGAGAACAAAGUGCACGCGCUGUAAUGAGUGUCUGUGUGCCGAUGUUGGAGGCUGCCAGACUUUUUUAUGUGCUCGGCAAUAAACGCCACAAGUUAAACGUGAUAAAGAGCAGUUCUGAUUUCCACCUGUCACUCCGAGAGUUACACAAGGGAGGUAACAGUGUGAAAACAAAGUAUAUUGGUUCAAAGAAGUCUUAUAUCUAAAGACACUUUGUGUCCAGAAAAUGUAGAAUUCAUUCCACCAGUGUAAAUUUUAUUGUAUUGUUGAGAGAAAUAAGUAUUCCCUUCAAAAUGGUUAAUGUUUUUGCACUUUCUUGUAAAAAAAAUAAUUAAUAAAUAAAAAAGCAGCUUAAGGGCAGCUUUUUGUUGUAUGGGCAUGUUUCCAUCUUUCCUGUUGAAUCAUAAGGAUAUUUUCUUAUAAAUAAUGGACAUAAAUUUGGUUGGCUACUUUAUUAAUCAGUAAUGUAUGAUGCAUCGAUAAUUGUUCAAAAAUCGAAUCGUAAUCAAAUCGAAUCGUGGGGUGCCUAAGAUGGCACACCCCUAAUAUUUACGCUAUUGAAACAAACUGCAGGACAAAGGAAUUGUCCAACUACAGCAAAAAUGUCAGGAAAAUCAUAACCAAGAUAGCUCAAUUAUGACCAUACUGUAAUUUAUUCAUGUAAAACAAUAUUUGGAACGCAACUUUACAACCUUAUUUUGUGCUACACCAUUGACUUGCAAAAAAAAAAAAAAGUUAGUGUUCUUUUUGCUUCGUUGAAACCACUUCUGUACUAAUCCUAACCUUUUUAUAAGGAUAGUGUUGGCAUAGCUUUGUUCAAAUUAUAGGGGAAAAAAUUUUUUUUAAUGUGAUUCCCCCCUGCUCCAUAGAAUAAAAUAUGCAGCGCACUUUUUUUAAAAGUGUCAAAAUGCCUUUCCAUAAUCUCUUCCCUUGAUUGUGUUACGAAAUUGUGAGGCAUUGCUGUGCAACAGAAAUGAUGUUCUAACAUUCGUGUG